rnacentral:tRNA from 1 species
GAAAUACCACACCUUUAAGCCGCUAACUUAAAUUUUAGUGAAAAGUCUUCAUUAGUAUUUCU